AGGUCUGUAAGUCAAUGGAUAGACUAUCUGGCUUCGGACCGGACAAUGGGGGUUCGAAUCCCUCCAGACCUA
rnacentral:tRNA from 1 species